GGGUUGUGGCUCAGUGGUAGGGACUUUGCCUGGCAUGUGCAAGGCCCUGGGUCUGAUUCCCAGCACCCA
rnacentral:tRNA from 1 species